rnacentral:tRNA from 1 species
UCCCUGGCAGUCCAGGGGCUAAGACAAUGCACUCCCAAUGCAGGGGGUCUGGGUUCAAUCCCUGGUCAGGGAA